CAAGAGAGAUUAAUGAUGCACGAACUCAUAUGAAAGAAGAGUUCAAAAUGAAAGAUCUUGGAAAGACAAAAUUUGUCUUGAACUUCAAAUUGAGCAUUUGAAGGUAUAUUUGUGCAUCAAUCCAACUAUAUAAAAAAUAUUUUAAACCGCUUUAAUAUGGAUAAAGCGAAUCUUUUAAUUACUCCUAUGGUAAAUAGAUCUUUAAAUGUU
rnacentral:sRNA from 1 species